CCAGCACCUGCGGUAAUUCCAGCUCCAAUAGCGUAUAUUAAAGUUGUUGCAGUUAAAACGCUCGUAGUCUGAGAUGGAGUGUGUGGGGGUGUGGGUCGAUAGAUUUGCAUACUCGCGCACUCGUUCUGACAGCAAUGUCGGGGUUACUUUGAGGAAAUUAGAGUGUUCAAAGCAGGCGAUUGCUUGAAUACUGCAGCAUGGAAUAAUGGAAUAGGACUCGCGUCAUAUUUUGUUGGUUUGGAGAUGUGAGUAAUGAUGAAUAGGGACAGUUGGGGGCAUUGGUAUUCAGUAGUCAGAGGUGAAAUUCUUGGAUUUACUGAAGACUAACUAGUGCGAAAGCAUUUGCCAAGGAGGUUUGCAUUGAUCAAGAACGAAAGU
rnacentral:rRNA from 1 species